AUGAACGCUGACAGAAUGCUUAACACAUGCAAGUCAACUUGAACUUCGGUUUGGGUGGCGGACGGGUGAGUAACGCGUAAAGAACUUGCCUCACAGCUAGGGACAACAUUUGGAAACGAAUGCUAAUACCUGAUAUUAUGAUUUUAGGGCAUCCUAGAUUUAUGAAAGCUAUAUGCGCUGUGAGAGAGCUUUGCGUCCCAUUAGCUAGUUGGAGAGGUAACGGCUCACCAAGGCGAUGAUGGGUAGCCGGCCUGAGAGGGUGAACGGCCACAAGGGGACUGAGACACGGCCCUUACUCCUACGGGAGGCAGCAGUGGGGAAUAUUGGACAAUGGACCAAGAGUCUGAACCAGCAAUUCUGUGUGCACGAUGAAGUUUUUCGGAAUGUAAAGUGCUUUCAGUUGGGAAGAAAAAAAUGACGGUACCAACAGAAGAAGUGACGGCUAAAUACGUG
rnacentral:rRNA from 1 species